GACGAACGCUGGCGGCGUGCUUAACACAUGCAAGUCGAACGGAAAGGCCCUGCUUUUGUGGGGUGCUCGAGUGGCGAACGGGUGAGUAACACGUGAGUAACCUGCCCUGGACUUUGGGAUAACUUCAGGAAACUGGGGCUAAUACCGGAUAGGAGCUCCUGCUGCAUGGUGGGGGUUGGAAAGUUUCGGCGGAUGGGGAUGGACUCGCGGCUUAUCAGCUUGUUGGUGGGGUAGUGGCUUACCAAGGCUUUGACGGGUAGCCGGCCUGAGAGGGUGACCGGCCACAUUGGGACUGAGAUACGGCCCAGACUCCUACUGGAGGCAGCAGUGGGGAAUAUUGCACAAUGGGCGGAAGCCUGAUGCAGCAACGCCGCGUGCGGGAUGACGGCCUUCGGGUUGUAAACCGCUUUCGCCUGUGACGAAGCGUGAGUGACGGUAAUGGGUAGAGAAGCACCGGCUAACUACGUG
rnacentral:rRNA from 1 species